GCCAUGGCGGAGUACUCCGCAUCUAUCCCGCUGAAUAGUGAUGCUGAUCCAGAGGAUCCGGAGAGGUCUUCCUCCAAUUCCUCUGCCCGCAAGGCUUGCUUUGCUGUUCUUCAAAGCUGGAUUUCAAGAAAAUUUAUGACUGGAUGUGUGGUUCUUUUUCCAGUGGCUAUUACAUUUUUCAUUACCUGGUCGUUUAUCCAGUUUGUGGAUGGUUUCUUCAGUCCAUUAUAUGCCAAUCUUGGAGUUCAUAUAUUUGGUGUUGGAUUUUGCAACAUCACUUGUGUUUAUAUUGCUUGUUGGU